ensembl:misc_RNA 7SK 7SK RNA
AGAAGAAGGGCAAUCUUGCUGCGACAUCUGUCAACCCAUUGAUCGCCAGGGUUGAUUUUGCUGAUCUGGCUGGCUAGGUGGGUGUCUCCUUCCUCUCUCGCUUCUCCAUGUUUGUCAGACCCGAAGCUGUGCACUCGGUCGAAGAGGAUGGCCUUCCCAGAAUAGAGACAGACCGGUCUUUAGUCAAGGGUAUAGGAGUAGCUGUACUCCCCUGCUAGAACUUCCAAACAAGCUCUCAAAAGCUUAAUGAAUUUCAUACAGUCACCACUUUCAUUACCACUAUGUAUUCAAAAGUGAUCUUUU